rnacentral:rRNA from 1 species
UACGUAGGGUGCAAGCGUUAAUCGGAAUUAUUGGGCGUAAAGAGCGCGCAGGCGGCUUGGCAAGUCGGGUGUGAAAUCCCGGGGCUCAACCCCGUGACUGCAUCCGAUACUGUCAGGCUAGAGGUAGGUAGGGGAGAUCGGAAUUCCUGGUGUAGCGGUGAAAUGCGCAGAUAUCAGGAGGAACACCGGUGGCGAAGGCGGAUCUCUGGGCCUUACCUGACGCUCAGGCGCGAAAGCUAGGGGAGCGAACAGG